UGCACGUCUUUUCGGAAUGCCAGUCACGAGUCCAAACUUUGCGUCCAACCUCCCACAUGAAAUGAUCCCCCCUUAAAGGGGGCUCAAUAUGUCUCAAUCUGCACUUCACUUCAGUCAAACCAUUUGGGCAUAUAAGGACAGGCUCCAGAAAAAGAAUUAAUUAGAGAACGACGCCUCGGACGCGGACAACACUCUACCCGACGGGAAAAAAAAGUGGACAAGAAGGACACACCAAGUCUUACACCGAGCUCCUUUGGAGAAAGUGGGAAGCGGCUCCUCACGCGCGCCUCUCACACCUAAAGUCACGCGCUUCGUCUGCUGCCGAUUUUCAUCUACGCGCUGACUCAGAUGAAGAAGAAGAAGAAGAGGAAGAAGAAGAAGAAGAAGAGGCGGAGACAUGGAGACUGAGUUAUCAAUGGCGAGGGCUUGCUUUCUGUUACCUUGAACCAGCGAUGAACUCGUGAGCAGUGAAAGCCUCUCACACUAAUCCUGGCUAUGGGGUCAGUAACAGUGUGUCUCCAAGCAGAUAUGCAAAUCAUCCAGGUCCCUUCAGCGACCCUGUGGGUGCUCCGCCCCUCUCCGGUGACAUCACCUGGUAUUCUGUCUUAAGAGCAUGCUUCACUAAUAGGCUUUUAUUACACUACCGUGCUAUCUCUAAAUUGCCAAGUUGGAUCAAAUGUAAGUAGUGUAUGUGUGGAUUACACUUCCUCAUUUAGCCACUGAAAAGGAGAGGGACAAAGACAACCAGGUGCAUUCACGAGACAAAUUAAAUUAAUACUACACUAUUAAAAGAUGCAGACAUGGAUUAUCAUGUGUCUAUGGAAAGACUUUGUCUCGGUAAAAGAAAGAUGACCAUCUCGCUGUAAUUGUUCAGGAAAAAAAAUGUUUCUCAAUAGGAUCUUUUGCAUAAGCUGUCAGCUCUUGGAGGAUAUAAAUGAUAAAUUUCAUGCUCAUAAGUAUAAAUCAAAAUGUAAAAAAUUAAUAGGAAGUAACUGAGAGAAGGAUUAUAAGGAUUUAAAUCAGUAAUGCUCGUCUACCAUAUCAGUAAUCCAGGAAAAUGAUGUCAAAACAUUUUAUUUGAUUAGACUUAGGCUAUUCUGUGUUUAUUUAAUAAAGUAAGCUACACUUACACCGGAGAUUAAUGUUCAGAAAAUGAAGGACUUGAGUGUUACAUUAAACGCAAUUUUUUUCUUUCGUUUGCUGAACGAUUGUUUUAACAUCAGCCAACAGAAUAUGGGAUCCACGGCACUGCGUAAUUUAAGGAAAGAAUCUUUAUUACUUGUGUUGAAGAGUAGCCAGGAUCAAAAGAUGCCAAUGUGUAAAGAAAUCUAAAAGAUCUCACAAUGACAACACACGGAAAUCAUGUGUAUAUCUGUAAUUACGAGUCUAAUGACACGACCAGAAAUGACCAAAAAACAAUUGACUAUCUUGACUCAAGGUAAACUAUCAGCUAAAAGUAAUAUCAUUCCGAGCCAGACAGAAAAAUGCAAUGUUGAGUGCAAUUAGUUUCCAUCUGUAAUUUGGCAUUUAAACGUGUCUCUUUAUUGAUUAAACACAACUUUCAAUUAAUUUUUAAAACUGUUCUAAUUAGGGAGCAUUUCGAUAUACCAUAAUUACACCGCUGUUGCAGAAUAACGGUAUUUUUGAUCAUUAUGUAAGCACAACAUAAUAAAAAAACAGCAUAAUAAACAUGAAGAAAGAUUGAA